rnacentral:misc_RNA from 1 species
CUCUCUCUCUCUCUCUCUCUCGGCCUCCAAUCUUGCUUUCAAUCAAUUUCAGAUUCCUCACUCUCAAUCUUUUUGGUGUACUCUCUGUCUUGCUAUCCCUUAAGGCUGCAUGUUUGUUUCUGGGGCCAUUGACUAGGUAUGGAAUUUGAAUCCCAGGCUCAAGCUCCCAAAGUGUUUGAAAAUCCACUCUCGUUUUGCCUUUAGUUGUAGAUAUUAGUUCCAUUUCUGUUUCUUUUUUUUUUUUAAAUAAUAAUAAGGCAGUUACAUACUAGAAAUCUCUCUCUUUUUUUCCCCCAUUUUUUUGAGCAAGCAUCAAUUGUUAAAAACAGACCUCAUACCAUAUAAGCAGAUCAUUCCUCAUGCUAAGUUAAAAAAUAUUUAGGAGAUAUGAGAUUUCAAUGAAAAAUAAGCUUCUAUGGGACACUGAUAGACUAUAGGCAACCAUCUAUUAAAUCACUUUAGUGGAGAUCAAUCUUAGUUAUGCAAUACAGCAUAAAAUAAAACACAUAUUUAUUGUUGAAAUUGGAAACCACUAACCUUUGUGCCAAAAGGACCAACAGGAUGGUUAAUUUCAAGAACAUCCUUCCCCUGAAGCUCAGCUUCAAGCUCCUCGCGCUCAUGUCCAGUAGCAAUAGGCAUUACAUCCUCAAUCCUCUUUUUCACAGCACCAUCUGCUUAAAAAUAGUUAAUUCAUUACAUAUAGACACGUGCAUUUGAACAAACAUGCCCACUAUUACAUUGCUCACCUUAAAUCUACCCCAACUCAAAUUUCUUAUAUGCCUAUGCAUAAAAAUAAAAGAAUACGCCCAUUUUUCAAAUGGUACAUAAACAAAUCUGCCUGUGUUUGCUUAUAACUAAUCAUUUUCUACCAAAAUGAGUUAACAGACGCAAUUUAGGAUAUUCUCCGCUGAUACAUGACUAACUAUAAUCAUGGAAGCAUAAAUGCAUUUAUUUCCAUACAUAACCACACAUACCAUAAUCAUGGAAGCAUAAAUGCACUUAUUUCCCGCCAUAGCGAUACAAAGGCCAAAUAAAUCGAACAGAAUAUACGAAAAGAUAAAAUAGCUAUACAGAUAUACAAAUAUGAAAGUGAAGUGAAGAUCUGAAGUAUAACCUGAAUCGAUACUGAAGUAGCGAUUGGAGAGAGAAGUGGAAGGCGAUGGGGAAAUGAAGAAUCGAUUAGAGGAAGCAAAUAGGGAGACGGCGGAAGCAGAUCGGUAGGAGGAGGCUAGGGUUUUGAGCUGUGAAGAAAGUGCUCUUCUCCACAUCGUCUUCGUUUUGGUGGAUUUAGAUUCUGUGUUCUCUUGUGAUUGAAGGUCACACCCUGUAUGUAUCUCUGGUUUUCUUUCUGCUA